GAAGACAAUGUAAUAAAGCAGCAGCAAAUGCUAGCAGAAUGCUUGGUUGUAUAGGGAGAGGCAUUCACAGUAGAAAGAGGGUAGUGCUCAUGCCAUUGUACAGAACACUGGUGAGACCUCACUUGGAGUAUUAUAUGCAGUACUGGAGACCGUAUCUUCAGAAGGAUAUUGAUACUUUAGAAAGAGUUCCGAGAACUGGUUCACGGAUUGCAGGAUACAACUUAC